rnacentral:rRNA from 1 species
CCUACGGGUGGCAGCAGUGGGGAAUAUUGCUCAAUGGGGGAAACCCUGAUGCAGCGACGCCGCGUGCGCGAUGAAGUAUUUCGGUAUGUAAAGCUCUUUUUGUAGGGAAGUAAAUGACGGUACCUGACUAAGAAGCCCCGGCUAACUACGUGCCAGCAGCCGCGGUAAUACGUAGGGGGCCAGCGUUAUCCGGAUUUACUGGGCGUAAAGGGAGCGUAGACGGCAUGGCAAGCCAGAUGUGAAAUGCCGGGGCUCAACCCCGGGACUGCAUUUGGAACUGUUAGGCUGGAGUGUCGGAGAGGCAGGCGGAAUUCCUAGUGUAGCGGUGAAAUGCGUAGAUAUUAGGAGGAACACCAGUUGCGAAGGCGGCCUGCUGGACGAUGACUGACGCUGAGGCUCGAAAGCGUGGGGAGCAAACAGGAUUAGAUACCCUAGUAGUC